AGUGAACGCUGGCGGUAGGCCUAACACAUGCAAGUCGAACGGCAGCACAGUAAGAGCUUGCUCUUACGGGUGGCGAGUGGCGGACGGGUGAGGAAUACAUCGGAAUCUACUUUUUCGUGGGGGAUAACGUAGGGAAACUUACGCUAAUACCGCAUACGACCUACGGGUGAAAGCAGGGGAUCUUCGGACCUUGCGCGAUUGAAUGAGCCGAAGUCGGAUUAGCUAGUUGGCGGGGUAAAGGCCCACCAAGGCGACGAUCCGUAGCUGGUCUGAGAGGAUGAUCAGCCACACUGGAACUGAGACACGGUCCAGACUCCUACGGGAGGCAGCAGUGGGGAAUAUUGGACAAUGGGCGCGAGCCUGAUCCAGCCAUACCGCGUGGGUGAAGAAGGCCUUCGGGUUGUAAAGCCCUUUUGUUGGGAAAGAAAAGCAGCAGGUUAAUACCCCGCUGUUCUGACGGUACCCAAAGAAUAAGCACCGGCUAACUUCGUG
rnacentral:rRNA from 1 species